GACGACCUCAUCUAAAAAAUAAAAAAAAUCUCAAAAAGAAAAAACGGCGACGACCAACCGACGGCCCCUUCUCGUCAGCCGCCCCCUGCCGGCCGCCGGCGAACCACGCCAGCCGACCUGGUAAGCUCCCAGAGACGAACCUCUCGUGCUAAUGAAUCUCGCGUAGCCCGCCCUUUUUUGUGGAGUUACCUCCCGCGAUCAGUGCUAUAGGCAGUAGUAGAAAUUGCCAGUGAGAUUCCCCUGAUGCCGCCGUGCCGAAUGACUCUGUAGAGCAAUUUUUGAGUAAAUUUCUCUGUUGCGCGUCCUGCCUGUAUCAGGGCGAUCAUUGUGUUUUUGGUGUGGAGGGGGGAGCAGCAACCGGCGAUUGCUCGGGCAAUUCGAUCAGGUGCUCUCGUACCGUUGCCAUCAACACAGAUCUCCCUGCAUAAUACAGUAGGUCGCUUGUGUUGUGUGUCCCAGGCUGCUGGUCCCUGUGUGAGUUGAGCGAGCCUCACAUGUGCGGGCUUCGCAAUCGGUCGGCUCGCUUCGGGUUAGAGAUUGGUCACAUGGUGGAUGCUAGGGCUUUGUGAUCAUCAUGAAAUGAGAUUUGAUUUGUCCAUCAGGGUUCGCGUCAAGCAAGUGAUUGUUCUGUACAACAUUGAUGAUAGUAUGAUGCUUGUUUGCUUAACGUGCUAUGUCCAAGCCAAUGUAAACAGCAGGAGAGAUGUGUCUUUGGACCUGCUAAUAAGUGACCACCCUUGAUCCCUGUACAGUUCAACACGGUUAGUUGUGCCUGGUCUUUCUUCUUUCCAUGGUGCAGGUAUUGCGUGCGCUUUUUUAGUUAGUUUUUAAACGGGAUGCUAGCUAAUUCAGCGUUAUUAUUGCAUUCCCCUUGCUAGAAGCGCACAAAAUACUUGAUUGUUACACCCUCUGUUCCCAAAUGUAGGACAUUCUGGCAGUUCAAAAUACUUGAUUGUUACAGAGGUAGUACAUGAUUGACAACCUCAUGUUGAGAUUGUUACAUGUGAACAAUGAUGACCAAUUAGGGCUUCUUUGGAUCACAGGAUUAGAAAACAAAGGAAUUCAAAAAACACAGGAAUUUGACGGGAUUGUAGGUGCAAAACAGAGGAUUACAAAAUAGAGGAAAACUACAAGAAUGGUCAUUUGGAUGGAACACAGGAAAAACACAGGAAAAGUGCCUCGAUCCUACGCGAAUCAGUGUAAAAAAGAGGUUAUAGUGGAUGUUGAAAUUCCUAUAGGAUUGAGGUGUAGGAAUGCAUCCAUAGGAAUUUUGGAGGUGUGGUUCCUUUGAUCCAAAGGGCUUCUUUAGGAAAAAAUCCAAUGGAUUGGAAUCCUCCAAUAUUCCUAUGAAAAUCCUUCAAUCCAAAGAGGCCCUUAGCUGGAGCCUGGAGAUAGUCUAAUCAUAAAUGAUUGCGCAGCUAGUAGCUGUUGUAAUUUUCCUCGUGCUAUGAAUCUUGUUGACAACAUGGUAGUAUUAUUAAAAGAAUUACCAUAUGUUGUAUCCUAGCUAAAACCUGGUUUAUAUCAGUGUUCUGCCUGUUUAUAUGACUAUCAUCUACAGGAUGUAGAAUAUAGUGUGCCCAAUCAAAGCAAUGUUCAUAUCGCAAGGCAAAAAAAAAACGAGGUUCAGAUAUAAUCUUGCAGCAAAGAUGGCAUCUGGUCAUGUUGCAGACAAGGCGAUCUACAAGACUAAAUGCUCCCAACUUUUGCCAACUUGCCCUCUUAUUGUGCAUGAUGAUGUCAAACUAAUUUACUGCAACAUAAAUGCAAGUUUACUAUCGACAUGUUAUGUGUUGGGAGCUUGGGAUGCAUAUGAUGCAAGGGAUACAUGAUUCAUAACUGACGGUUGUUUUGCAAUGAUCUUGUGUACUCAUUUCUACUUGUCCUUUGUUCAUGCGGUGCAUCUAUUGACAACUUGACGUCCAAAACAAUCAUUCGUAGUGAUGAGCAAGUCUUUUAUAGAAUGGGCAGGUGUCAGGUACAGAUUUUUGUGUGGCUUCUUCUUGGGCUGCUCGGAUCAGAUGGUCCCUGACUGAACUCUUAAAUAUGCUCAUGUGGUAUUUUCUUGGGAUUGUAUGUAGGCUAAAACCAUGGCCCGUGAAAGCAGGAGGUCCCACAAACACGUAAUAAUACUCACAUGUGUGUCAUCUUAUGUCAAAGCAAAGAAGUGUUUUUUCACUCUGCUCGGAAAAACCAAAUCCAUGUUUUCUGGACCGAAGUGUGAAAAAUACCAAGCAAACUCAGACUGACACCAGCAACCAACCUGUGUAAACGUCAUUGAGGACAUAGAUUUUUCUUUCUGUAUAUAUACUGGAAUAUAUGACUCGCUUAACACAUAACAAGCUCUUGCAAGUCCAGAGUCUUCCCUGUGCUAGUGUCACAGUGACGGUUUGUAGGAGGGCUCAGGUCGUCAGGUGUAUGUUUGGUGGUACAACUGUACAAGGAAACAACUCCGCAGGAUGGUGUGUUGAUGUGAUCGAGGAAGAGUCGAUAUGUAUAUGUUCUGUCAAAUAGCUCCUGGAUUCUUGGAUAUGUGCGACAAAACAAGGUCAUGAUAGAUAGGUGAGCAAUGCGUGAUACUUCUUGCAUGUGCAGCGCAAGGAUGUUGGCCAAGCUACUGUGUACACCUCAUACUCUGUUUUUUAUCUCUCAUUUAAGUUGUAUCAGAAUUUGGUGGCUAGUGGGGAAAUUUGACAGUCUAAUGUUCUCGUAUAUAAAUUCUGCUAACUCUAGCAUAAUGGCAGAAUUAUAUUAUGUUCUUGCAUCGCAGAAAGUAUCAUAUUUUCUCCUUAUUGUUAUGCUAUCCUGAAUGUUAGUAUGUAAUACUUACUGAUAUUGCUGAACGGUAUAUGUAUCAUAUCACUAAAGUAAUAGCUUGGCCCUUUUCUACUAGAACCAAUCAUGUUUCCUUUUCAAUGUUGCCAAAUUGCUUAAUAAUGGUCCUCAGAUGGUCAGCCUAUUAUAUGUUUUUUUUGCGGGUUAUUAUAUGUUGAUGGUCAGAAACACUUGAAAUCAUUGCACUUUUCAGUGGAGAUUAUAUGUUCUCUUUUGCUCAUUGGCCAGUCACUCGAGAUUAUAUCUCUCUUUUACUCAUUGGCAGAUUAAUAUGCAUGAUGACUGAAGUGUGGCGACUGAUUCCCUUGCGGAUGCUCGAUGUGAAGGCAGAGUAAUCUGUUAUGCUGGAGGUCAGUACAUUCGAUGCUUGUGGUUGCUUUACUUGAAUUUUGAAAUUUGAGUCACCUCCAUUAGUCAACUUAGCAAUCGAAGCCAGAAUUCAAGGUAGCAUCGUGCACUAGAGCUGAUACAUUGCCAUGAAACGAGCUGUAAAUGACAUUACCCAGGACUGGAAAGGAAGAAGCUGGUCCAAUGCCACAGCCAUGUAGCGCGCACAUUGACCCAACCAUCUUUAUAUACUCCUAGUUGAUCUGAUCUAUCUAUCCAUUCAGAAGGAGGAGGACUCUGCUACAUGACAGUACUAGGCAUGCAGUUCCAUAGCUAAAACGAAGCAAACAUUCCCAACAUUCAGAGCUAGACCCUCUAGCGGUUACAAAUGCAAAUCCUACAUGAUGGCAUGGCAUGGUAGUAGAGUACCAAGGAGAACAUAUCCAGUACCAGUACGUACUAUCUAAUGGGUGAAAGCAAGCACUGGAUAUGUUCUCCAGCACCCGAGCAAGCAAGCUGCUUCAGUUUGCGACAGUCUUCUUGGACUUGGGCGUCGCCUUGUCGUGGACGGCGUGUGCCGGUGGAGCCGCGUUGAGGUCAGGGAGGGGCGCACGAGCGCCAGCAGCGGCGUUGCCGAUGGGCUUGCCGGCCGCGGUCUUGGCGAGGCGGUGCUUGAGCUCGGUGAGCAGGGCCUGGUUCUCCUGGUUCAGCAGCUGGGCCUUCUUGCGCAGCCGUUCGUUCUCCUUGAGGAUGUAGCAGUUCUGCAUGUACAGCUUGGCGUUGAGCCUGUCCAUCCCGCCUGGCGCCUGCCACCAAAAAAAAAAAAGCAACAGGGUAAGGAAAUCGGCAGCCAUAUGUGGGGGGCCCUGUUUCAGAACUUGGUUACAAUACUCGUUUUUUAUCCUGCUCUGCUUCACGCGACUCGUAUUAACUUGUAUGUGUCCUACUAUGAGUGCAGGAAAAGAAGAAAUGGAAGCAGAAACAGUGAAGUGUGUUGUGGUCGUGUGCCAGCAAAAAUGCCAGGAUACUCAGGGGAUGUCCCUGCUGUGGCAACAUCCUUAGAGGUAAGAAGAAGAAGAAGAAGAAUGGAACACUAGCAGCAGAGUGUAGCAUGGAGACCCUGAAGGUUCCUUCUGUAAACAAGAUAAAGAAAUGGGAGGGUCACUCGUUCUAAACAAAUUAUGAUGGAUGUAAACACAUGUUAACGCCAUUGCAACUGCUAACAGAAUAUAUUAGUAGUACUAGCAACUUGCAAAGAUGUCGAGACUCAAGACAUAAACAAAUCA
rnacentral:lncRNA from 1 species